rnacentral:lncRNA from 1 species
GAGACACACCCAGCGGCAGCCGUUGACUCCCUCCACCCUUGCUUCCCUCUCAACCAUCUCACCUCCAUCUGUCCAGUGGAGCCAGAUGUCCCACCUUCUUGGGAGAAAUUAAUUGAGGCUCAUUUCCAGGACAGAGGGGCAAGCUGGGUCUGAGGAGCCAAGCAGAAAAACUUCCCAAAAUCACUGGGUGGGGAGGGGUCAGAGACUUACUGCUGCCCCAGCUGUUCUGACUCUGCCCCCAGCUUUUGGCCCCACCCUUUUAAAGCACCUUCAGAGGUUCCCAAUGGUGACAGUAAACAAGUCUCCACUGUCCUGGCCAUCUCUGCUGUGUUCACCCUACUCCUGAUCUUUCUGGCUGCUCAGGGACUGACAGCCAAGAUGUGAGGCUGUGAUGAGCAGGAACAGGGAGGCCUGGAGCCCCCAGAUUUGCAAUGAUCAAGAGGCGUCCUGUGAAUGCAGUUUGCAAAGGACUUAGGCACACAGCAUCUCCUUUGUUCUCACCACAAGGCUGCCGGGUGUGCAGAUGUGAGGAUUAUUUCAAUGGUGAAGAAGCAUCCUGAGAGGUUACGUAGUUCAACUAAUGUCACACCAAGAGGAGAGCAUCUGGGCAUUUGGACAUGGAAGGUGUGGGGCACAAGCAUCUCAUGGCCAGGGAACGGGGGAGGAGCAUCUCAGAGCUGCAUCAGAGUUCAUGCUGGUCCUAGGACAAGAGUCAAGCACACCCUGCUUUCACCAGCUGCUGGUAGCUUUCACUCAGGUUCCCACUUUGGCCACUUAAUUCUCUGAACCUCUACUACAUGAAGAGACUAGAACUUGAUUAGAAAAAAAUGGAAUGACUCUUAAUGAGCAAGUGGAUGAAUAAAUUGUGGUAAAUCCCUACAAG